UAAGACAGAGGGGGCAAGCGUUGCUCGGAAUUACUGGGCGUAAAGGGCGCGUAGGCGGGAUGGCAAGUCGGUCGUGAAAUCCCUGGGCUCAACUCAGGGGGGUCGGCCGAUACUGCCGUUCUUGAGGGAUGCAGAGGAGACUGGAAUUCCCGGUGUAGCGGUGAAAUGUGUAGAGAUCGGGAGGAACACCGGUGGCGAAGGCGGGUCU
rnacentral:rRNA from 1 species